UACGGAGGGCGCAAGCGUUGUUCGGAAUCAUUGGGCGUAAAGCGCGUGUAGGCGGCCAAGUAAGUCGGGUGUGAAAUCCCGGGGCCCAACCCCGGAACUGCAUUCGAUACUGCUUGGCUGGAGUCCCGGAGAGGAAGGCGGAAUUCCCGGUGUAGAGGUGAAAUUCGUAGAUAUCGGGAGGAACACCAGCGGCGAAGGCGGCCUUCUGGACGGUGACUGACGCUGAGACGCGAAAGCGUGGGGAGCAAACAGG
rnacentral:rRNA from 1 species